rnacentral:snRNA from 1 species
ACCAAACACACACACUCCCGUGA